rnacentral:rRNA from 1 species
AUUGAACGCUGGCGGCAGGCUUAACACAUGCAAGUCGAGCGGAGCGAGGGUGCUUGCACCUUAGCUUAGCGGCGGACGGGUGAGUAAUGCUUAGGAAUCUGCCUAUUAGUGGGGGACAACAUUCCGAAAGGAAUGCUAAUACCGCAUACGCCCUACGGGGGAAAGCAGGGGAUCUUCGGACCUUGCGCUAAUAGAUGAGCCUAAGUCGGAUUAGCUAGUUGGUGGGGUAAAGGCCUACCAAGGCGACGAUCUGUAGCGGGUCUGAGAGGAUGAUCCGCCACACUGGGACUGAGACACGGCCCAGACUCCUACGGGAGGCAGCAGUGGGGAAUAUUGGACAAUGGGCGGAAGCCUGAUCCAGCCAUGCCGCGUGUGUGAAGAAGGCCUUUUGGUUGUAAAGCACUUUAAGCGAGGAGGAGGCUACUAGUAUUAAUACUACUGGAUAGUGGACGUUACUCGCAGAAUAAGCACCGGCUAACUCUGUGCCAGCCGCCACAGUAAGAC